rnacentral:rRNA from 1 species
AAUCAAGUGGAGGACAAGUCUGGUGCCAGCACCCGCGGUAAUUCCAGCUCCACUAGCGUAUAUUAAAGUUGUUGCAGUUAAAAAGCUCGUAGUUGAACCUCUGUCUGGGGCUAGUUUUGGCUUUGGUCAGGCUAGUUCUAGGCAUCCGCCUACAAGACUUAGAGGGCAUUCAGUUGUUCACUAGGAGGAGUAGGCAUUUUACUUUGAAAAAAUUAGAGUGUUUAAGGCAGGCAAUCGCCCGCAUAUAUUAGCAUGGAAUAAUAGAAUAGGACACUUUUCCAUUUCGUUGGUUAUUGGAAUCGUGUAAUGAUUAAUAGGGACAGUUGUGGGCAUUUGUAUUUAAUUGUCAGAGGUGAAAUUCUUGGAUUUAUUAAAGACAAACUAACGCGAAAGCAUUUGCCAAGGAUGUUUUCAUUAAUCAAGAACGAAAGUUAGGGGAUCAAAGACGAUCAGAUACCGUCCUAGUCUUAACUAUAAACUAUUCCGACUCAAUGUUUGACUGGCUUAUAUAACCAGUUGAGCGUUGUAUGAGAAAUCAAAGUCUUUAGGUUCUGGGGGGAGUAUGGUUGCAAAGCUGAAACUUAAAGGAAUUGACGGAAGAGCACAACCAGGAGUGGAUUCUGCGGCUUAAUUUGACUCAACACGGGGAAACUUACCAGGUUAAAACAAUAGUGGGAUUGACAGUUUGAGAGCGCUUUCUUGAUUGGUUGGGUGGUGGUGCAUGGCCGUUCUUAGUUGGUGGAGUGAUUUGUCUGCUUAAUUGCGUUAACGAACGAGACCUUAACCUGCUUACUAGACUGGCGAUCAUCAAUCGUUAGCUCUUCUUAGAGGGACUUUGGUUGUUUUAACUCCAAGGAAGUUUGAGGCAAUAACAGGUCUGUGGUGCCCUUAGAUAUCCUGGGCCGCACGCGUCAUACAAUGACUAGUUCAGAAAGUUUUCUCCUGACCCGAAAGGGGAUGGGUAAUCUUGAUAAUACUAGUCGUGUUAGGGAUCGAUCUUUGCAAUUAUAGAUCUUGAACGAGGAAUUCCUAGUAAGUGCGGUUCAUCAGACCGUACUGAUUACGUCCCUGCUCUUUGUACACACCGCCCGUCGCUUCUACCGAGUGGGUGGUCCGGUGAGAUAAUUGAACUUCGCAGGUAACUGAGAGGAAAGAUUAUCAAACCUAUCCACCU